GAUGAACGCUGGCGGCGUGCCUAAUACAUGCAAGUCGAGCGAACGGACGAGAAGCUUGCUUCUCUGAUGUUAGCGGCGGACGGGUGAGUAACACGUGGAUAACCUACCUAUAAGACUGGGAUAAUUUCGGGAAACCGGAGCUACUACCGGAUCAUAUUUUGAACCGCAUGGUUCAAAAGUGAAAGACGGUCUUGCUGUCACUUAUAGAUGGAUCCGCGCUGCAUUAGCUAGUUGGUAAGGUAACGGCUUACCAAGGCAACGAUGCUUAGCCGACCUGAGAGGGUGAUCGGCCACACUGGAACUGAGACACGGUCCAGACUCCUACGGGAGGCAGCAGUAGGGAAUCUUGCGCAAUGGGCGAAAGCCUGACGGAGCAACGCCGCGUGAGUGAUGAAGGUCUUCGGAUCGUAAAACUCUGUUAUUAGGGAAGAACAUAUGUGUAAGUAACUGUGCACAUCUUGACGGUACCUAAUCAGAAAGCCACGGCUAACUACGUG
rnacentral:rRNA from 1 species